CCUACGGGCGGCAGCAGUGGGGAAUAUUGGACAAUGGGCGAAAGCCUGAUCCAGCCAUGCCGCGUGUGUGAAGAAGGCCUUCGGGUUGUAAAGCACUUUCAGUGGGGAAGAAAGCCUUGGGGCUAAUACCCUCGAGGAAGGACAUCACCCACAGAAGAAGCACCGGCUAACUCCGUGCCAGCAGCCGCGGUAAUACGGAGGGUGCGAGCGUUAAUCGGAAUUACUGGGCGUAAAGCGCGCGUAGGCGGUCUGAUAAGCCGGUUGUGAAAGCCCCGGGCUCAACCUGGGAACGGCAUCCGGAACUGUCAGGCUAGAGUGCAGGAGAGGGAGGUAGAAUUCCCGGUGUAGCGGUGAAAUGCGUAGAGAUCGGGAGGAAUACCAGUGGCGAAGGCGACCUUCUGGACUGACACUGACGCUGAGGUGCGAAAGCGUGGGUAGCAAACAGGAUUAGAUACCCGGGUAGUC
rnacentral:rRNA from 1 species